rnacentral:rRNA from 1 species
UUUUGUGGAGAGUUUGAUCCUGGCUCAGGACGAACGCUGGCGGCGUGCUUAACACAUGCAAGUCGAACGAUGAUGCUUGGUGCUUGCACCGGGUGGAUUAGUGGCGAACGGGUGAGUAAUACGUGAGUAACCUGCCCUCUUCUGUGGGAUAAGCCUGGGAAACUGGGUCUAAUACUGCAUAUUCUGCUCUCAUCGCAUGGUGGGGGUUGGAAAGGGUUUUGUACUGGUGGGGGAUGGGCUCACGGCCUAUCAGCUUGUUGGUGGGGUGAUGGCCUACCAAGGCUUCGACGGGUAGCCGGCCUGAGAGGGUGACCGGCCACAUUGGGACUGAGAUACGGCCCAGACUCCUACGGGAGGCAGCAGUGGGGAAUAUUGCACAAUGGGCGCAAGCCUGAUGCAGCAACGCCGCGUG